rnacentral:siRNA from 1 species
UGUAGUCUGGAGAAGCGUCCUC